UACAGCCGUGUGAAUUUCGGUCCCCGCCGUGCGCCGGGCGGGGACCGGACCGGGGUGACUGCUGAUAUCA